GAUGAACGCUGGCGGCGUGCCUAAUACAUGCAAGUCGAGCGAACAGACGAGGAGCUUGCUCCUUUGACGUUAGCGGCGGACGGGUGAGUAACACGUGGGUAACCUACCUAUAAGACUGGGAUAACUUCGGGAAACCGGAGCUAAUACCGGAUAAUAUUUCGAACCGCAUGGUUCGAUAGUGAAAGAUGGCUUUGCUAUCACUUAUAGAUGGACCUGCGCCGUAUUGGCUAGUUGGUAAGGUAACGGCUUACCAAGGCAACGAUACGUAGCCGACCUGAGAGGGUGAUCGGCCACACUGGAACUGAGACACGGUCCAGACUCCUACGGGAGGCAGCAGUAGGGAAUCUUCCGCAAUGGGCGAAAGCCUGACGGAGCAACGCCGCGUGAGUGAUGAAGGUCUUCGGAUCGUAAAACUCUGUUAUUAGGGAAGAACAAACGUGUAAGUAACUGUGCACGUCUUGACGGUACCUAAUCAGAAAGCCACGGCUAACUACGUG
rnacentral:rRNA from 1 species